ACUUCGGUGGAUUUGAUCUAUUUCUAGUGGCGGACGGGUGAGUAACGCGUGGGUAACCUGCCUUAUACAGGGGGAUAACAGUCAGAAAUGGCUGCUAAUACCGCAUAAGCGCACAGAGCUGCAUGGCUCAGUGUGAAAAACUCCGGUGGUAUAAGAUGGACCCGCGUUGGAUUAGCUUGUUGGUGGGGUAACGGCCCACCAAGGCGACGAUCCAUAGCCGGCCUGAGAGGGUGAACGGCCACAUUGGGACUGAGACACGGCCCAGACUCCUACGGGAGGCAGCAGUGGGGAAUAUUGCACAAUGGGGGAAACCCUGAUGCAGCGACGCCGCGUGAAGGAAGAAGUAUCUCGGUAUGUAAACUUCUAUCAGCAGGGAAGAUAGUGACGGUACCUGACUAAGAAGCCCCGGCUAACUACGUGCCAGCAGCCGCGGUAAUACGUAGGGGGCAAGCGUUAUCCGGAUUUACUGGGUGUAAAGGGAGCGUAGACGGUGUGGCAAGUCUGAUGUGAAAGGCAUGGGCUCAACCUGUGGACUGCAUUGGAAACUGUCAUACUUGAGUGCCGGAGGGGUAAGCGGAAUUCCUAGUGUAGCGGUGAAAUGCGUAGAUAUUAGGAGGAACACCAGUGGCGAAGGCGGCUUACUGGACG
rnacentral:rRNA from 1 species